CUUCCAAAGAAUAAGUCCUGGGGUCGAUUUGCUCGACUAAAUGCGGUGCUCCAGCAUGGUCACAGUCAAAAGACUGAAACAAGUAAAAGAGUAAAAGAGUAAGCUAAGAUUGACUGGCCUUUGCAAGACUGGUCCCCCUGUGAGUCAAUCCUAUCAACUGUCAACAGCCCCGGUAAGCACCAAUUAUGGUGGCAACAGGUAAUGAGGAAUCAGGGUCUGAUUCUAUAGAGGGAGCAUGCUAAACAGCUACCACAUUCAAUAAAGACAGCAGGUGCACAAAUUACUCACUUCCAGCACGGGGAGGUAGUGACAAAAAGCUAUCACGCAGGACUCUGUUGAGGCCCUGCAGUCGGAAUGAGUACACUUCAAAUCCAUUAACAAUUUGU
rnacentral:ncRNA from 1 species